rnacentral:antisense_RNA from 1 species
CUGCUACAGGGGCUCCCAGCGGCCUCCCGCACCGAAGGGACCCUGGGCGUCUGAGGCCCUGAUCCGGGCGGGCCUUCAGGAUGUUAGCAGUCCCUGUCCGGUUGAAGGUAGGAAGCCGAAAACCCGAGUGGGGGACGAACAGACUUACCUCCUGUCCCGCAAAAGAUCCACUAGAUCGUCGUCUCCAAAACCUGAGAGACCGCGAACGGAUUCCAGAGCCGCAGCGUUCUCUCAGACCUGGCGUUCAGAAAGAUUCUAGAGAGCACGGGCAGGUCCCGGAGGUCUCAGACCCGCAGGCCUGCGGGGCGGGGGCGGGGGCGGGGGCGGGGUGGCGCCCAGGACGACUCCCCAGGCUCAGCUUGGCUGCCUGCCUCCUUCUGUAAGUGCUUUUUUUUUCUUCACCUGGGACCCUCUAGAGGUUGGAAAGAGAAGAGAGGCUGGGAGCGGAUGGAAAGCAUGACUGCAUCUGGAGCCCCUGGGGGGAGUGGGGAAGAGGGAGUGGAAGGACAGUGGCUGAGGGGCUUCCUGUUGCAGCCUUCAGCUGGACUCAGGGUUGGGGUCACUGGAGGAGGAGGUGGCUUCCUGCCCCAUUUUCUGGACUGCAGUGUUUCUUGGGAAUACUUACUGUAUGUGGAUUUUCAGUAACCAACUUGGAAAGCUGUAUUUGUUCCCAUGAUUCAGCAAACAAUGAGUACCUACUGUGUGCAGAAGCAGCAGGACAGCCUGUCAUCACUGGGAAAGAGGCCAGAAGAGCCAUUUGGCCAGGGUCUCCAAUUUAGGCUUUCAACAUUAUCUCUAAAGAAGGUUAUACAUUAUGUCGGCUCCACUGGCUGAUGGGAUCAAAGACCCUCCUUGUAUAUCCUUAAACCUGUACUCUAUUACCAGGCCACUGUGCCUGUGGAGCACUGUAAGUUCCUACCUUUUAAUAAAUUUUAUAAUUAUCUUGUGAGCAGCACAAUUGUCAUAGUUUUUUGUAUCAGAAACAUUAAUUUGUUAAACAUUUUAAAG